CAAGAGCGUAUAUUAAAGUUGUUGCAGUUAAAAAGCUCGUAGUUGGAUUUCUGGUACAAUGCGCCUGGCCCGCGCAGUAAUGGCCUGUGAGUGCCGGUGCGCGUUGGCCAUCCUUCUAGAAAACGUUUCUACCAUUAACCUUGGCUGUACUCGCUCUAGAUCUUUUACUUUGAAAAAUUAGAGUGUUCAAAGCAGGCUUUUGCUGUGAAUACAUUAGCAUGGAAUAAUAAUCUAGGACUUCGGUUUUAUUUUGUUGGUUUCUAAAAUGAAGUAAUGAUUGAUAGGGAUAGUUGGGGGUGCUAGUAUUGGCCGGCCAGAGGUGAAAUUCUUGGAUUCGGUCAAGACUAACUUAUGCGAAAGCAUUCACCAAGGAUGUCUUCUUUAAUCAAGAACGAAAGUUGGGGGA
rnacentral:rRNA from 1 species